ensembl:lncRNA
UCUCAAGAGAAGGCAGGGGGUGAGAAUAGAGAAGUUGAUGGGACCAAUGCAGUGGAGAGCCUUGCCUAUCUUGUUAAGGAGACUAUACUUGAGCCCAUUGGCCAUGGGAACUUGCUGAGAAGUUCUAAUCAAGGACAUAUUCAUAGGCAGACCAUCUGGUUGAAGUGGGAGGAGAUAUUUGAAGAGAAUGUCUGUGAAGAAGUGAAAGGGGUGAUGAAAGAGAACUCUCUAGUGAGAGAUGAUUAUGGAGCCCUUUUGAGUGAUAGCAAGAGUUGUGUGGCUGUCUGGGAACUAAAAAGGAAUAAGAUUAAUGUAAAUAUAAACCGAGACACCCCAUUAUUUGAGAAGGAUACACUUGGGAGAUUGUCUUGUAAACUAAGUGAAAGAGCUGCCAGACACCAUCUCCUGGAAAUGCCUAGAAGAGACAGGAAGCUAAGAGGAAAACAGCAAACCGUGGAAGAGAGACCUGCCAGUCUGCAUCGUAUCACCCACCUCCCCGAGCUGGGCUCCUCAUACUGACUCAAUUUUUCUGGCUAGUAAUUCCAGUACCAUGUUGAAAAGUGGCAAGAGUGAACAUCCCUGUCUUGUUCCUGGUCUUAGAAGAAAAGUUUGAAACUUUCAUCAUUGAGUAUGAUGUUGGUGUGGAUUUGCCACAUAUGGCCUUUAUUUUGUAGAGAAAGCUAUUGUUUUACUCUGAUGCUUUUGCAAAAGUGUUUCAUCUUCAAGAGAUCCAUGGAAAUGACUGACAAGUCAAGAAUUAAUUACAUGGAACUGAAUGAACUGAUGAGGAAGAUAUAUAAUUUAAUGUCUUUUUCUUUAGAACAUUGUUUAUAUUCUCUUGAAGAUUAAAGGAAGUCUUUUCUCUUAAGCCAUCUAUGACUUACAGCAAUUUGAGACCAUGGAAUCCCAGAGAAUGUGAUCCGAGCUGUGAAACCCAGGGUAAAUGAAAAGGAACCCGACCCUUGGCUCCUCUGCUCUUGCAAACUCUCUCUAGAAGUCAUCGAAGGCUUAAGUUGACCCUUGCAAGCCCUCCAACCCCUCUCAGCUUCAGCCAAUAAGACACAGUUGGCCUAUGACUGGCACCUCUAUAAUCACUUAGAGGCUGCUAGGCUUUUAGCAAAGCAUCUCUUCUAACUUCUCAAGUGUUGUUCUUUUACUUGUUUUACUUUUAGACAAUCUUAUGAACCAGCUCCAGUGAGCAGAGAGGCAGGAGGGACAACCCAUCAAUAAAAUAAUUCAGCCAAAGUCAAUUUUGUUAGAGACUUCUCAUGUUGUACUAGGAAAUCUAGGCUACUAAAAAUCAGGGAAAUCAAAUGGAAUCAUUUCUUUUGGUUCUAAAAGGAAAGCUAUCUUUAAAACUAUCUCUUUCAGAUAUCCCAUGCUCUUGGAUUGAAAGAAUUAGUAUUGUUAAAAUGACCAAACUACCCAAAGCAAUCUACAGAUUUAAUGUAAUCCCUAUCAAAUUACCCAUGACAUUUUUCAUAGAAUACUCUUAAAAUUUAUGUGGAACCACAAAAGCCUCAGAUUUCCCAAAGCAGCCCUACAGAAAAAGAACAAAGCAGCAUGCAGCACCCUCCCAGACUUCAGACAAUACUAUAAAGCUACAGUAAUCAAAACAGAGUGAUAUUGGUACAAAAACAGACAUAUGGAUCAACAGCACAGAAUAUAGAAAGCCCAGAAAUAAAUCCACAUAUAUAUAAUCAAUAGUGUAUUCUUGCCUCCUUUGUUGAAAAUCAGUGGGGAAAAGACAGUCUCGUCAGCAAGUGGUGCUGGGAAUGUUGGAAAACCACAUGCAAAUCAAUGAAUUUGGAACAAUCACCCCCUCUCACCAUACACAAGUAUAAACUCAAAAUGGGUUAUAGACUUAAACAUAAGGCACUACACCUUAGAACUCCUAGAAGAGGUCAUGGGCCAAAUAUUCUGACAGAAAUCAUACCAGUGUUUUCCUAGGUCAGUUUCCUAAGGCAAUCAAAAUAAACAAAUGAGACCUAUUCAAAUUUAUAAGCUUCUGC